UUUUGGGAAAACGAGUUGAUUUCUUUAAGACCUUAGAAGCUCCUGCAGCUUUUGAGGGUCACUUCGUCCCUGUCACCUUUCCUGCGUUAGGCGAAGUCGAUUUCCCCCUACCUACUUGAGGUCUAAUAGGAUGCUUUUCCCGAAGUCAAGGGGGAAGAGUUAAUCGGCUGUCUGGAGCAGAACUAGCGAAAAUUAGUUUUAUUUGCUUAAAUAGAUAAUGUUGUUCAUUCAUUUUAGUCGUGUCCGAUCCCAUCUGGGGUUUUCUCGCAAAGAUACUAGAAUGGUUUGCCAUUUCUUUCUCCAGGUUAUUUUAGAGAUGAGUAAACUAAGGCCAACAGGAUGAAGUGACUUGCCCAGAGUCACAUGGUAGCGUCUGAGGUCGGACCGAAGAAUCUUCCUGACUCCAGGCCUACCCAUUGUGCCACUUAGAUGACCCCACAGAUAAUCCAAAUGAUAAAAACCACAUAAAUAUAGGAGAGGAGAUGGAAAAGGCAAGAGUUUCCAAACCGGGGGGUGGAGGAUGAGGAAUCACAAUCUUUUGCAGUUCUUGGAUGAGGAUGAAUAAAUGAGGAUAAUUAAAAUUUACAAACAAAGCUUGCUUUGUGAAAGUUUCUUUUAAGAACAUUCAAUCAACACAUUGGAUGCUUCCCAUUUGCCAGGUGCUGUGCUGAACACGAAUACAAAGAAAAAGCAAAAAUAGUCUAUCUCAAAAGCAUCUUUUUUCAGAGAUGAACAUAUCACCUGCUCUAAAACUUGAGGGUGUGGAGCUAAUGGAUCUGCUUUAUUUAGCCUGAAGUGUUCGGUAAAAAGGUGAUAAUAUUCUUUCUCAGCUGAGAAAGAGCAACAGUAGCUGUACCUAUGAUGAGGAAAUGUUACAGAGAUUGGCCUUGCAGCUGAGAUGCAUUGGAGAUGGACUCAAUAAUAGAGUGAUUCAAGAGGGUCUUCAAUUAGAAGAAGUUAGAGAUGCAGUGGCUCAUUUUGUCUUAUUUUUGCUUAGAAAAGCUCAUUUGGUUUUGAACUAUUUUUUGGCCAACCAUCCAAUGUAGAACAAAAUUUAAAUUUCAAGUUGUUCGUUUUCUUUCCACUUUCUGAGAUAUAUACAUUACCCUUGUUGAACCCCAAAAAUCUGGGGGAAAAGACCAUGCCUUAUUGACUUUCCUAGCUGCCUGGUUGGUUUGUACCGAUAGGUACAAAGAAGAGGGGCAGUAUGGUUGAAUGGUAUGAAUGCUGGAAAUGGAGUGAAAUCUCAGCUCAAAUUCUGUCUAUGAGACUGACCAUGAAACCCUGGGCAAGUCACUUAACUUCAUUGAAACUGUUUCUUUAUCAAUAAAAUUAGACUAAUUAUAAUGUUUGUACUACUUAUAUCCCAGAAUUGUUAUGAGGAAAAUUUUUUUCUUAGUGUUCUGCACAUAGCAGGAAUUUAAUAAAUGUUUAUAGAAUGGUAUAAAAUGGAAUGUAAUAAAUGUUUCUUGAAUGUGCGAUAAGGGUGGGAAGACAACCUUUGUUUUCUUUGUUAUCUGACUUUCUUAUCAUAGGUGGGUUUAUGCUAACUGAACAGAGAAUGUAUGGAAUCAGGAGGCAGAUGUGUAUAUAGUAGCCACCUUUGAUACUUCUGGGGGGGCCUCAUAGGAAUAUUAUUUACAGAAUAUGCGAUGGAACUAAACAUAAACUCACUGAAAAAAAAGCAAUAACAACUUAUUGAAGGCUU